AGACAAGAGACACAAGGAGCGUUUUUAUUUGGUUUAAACAUGAUUACAAUGAUUACAAAGAUCUCACCUACGGUGUAUCCUAACAAUAGUAACAUGUUUAACUGUGAAUUGGACAGAGAUAUAAUUUGGAUCAAAAAUAAGGGAGUUAGCUGUAUAGUAUAACUCGCUUUUAAUGCUACAAUAUUGUAUCUUGUUUGGUAACAAGUUAGCUAGAUUUGACACACAUUUAACACCACUGUCAGCACAAAGCUAGACAGCAGCAUACCCAAAAUAUACACAAAAACGGGCGAUAAAGCACUUACACUGGAGAGAGAAGACCCAAGGAAGAUCAUGUGUUUGAAGCAUUGGGAACAACAGAUGAGCUGUCGAUCAGCAAUAGGGCAAUGUGAUGUUCUUUCCUUCUAUUGAGUAUUAUGCUUUAUUCAGUGUGUCUUACAAGAUGUGGGAUCCAACAUUACCACACUUCUGUCAUCUGCAAGAGAAAGAUAAGUAAAUAUAUUUCUGCAAAUCCUUUUGUAGAAUCAUUACACACAGCUCACCCCAGCCAGUGGCCUUCUCAUUCUACUCAUACUCUUAUCUCACUCUAUCCAACAGAGAAAAGCAAGUUCAGUUCCCAGCCAGUGGCAGACCUGUCUCAACGCAUUCAGAGGAGCUGCCACCACUGACAAACUUUAUAUUACCUUCUAGGAAAGAGCAGCACAGCCCUCCACAUAGCACGGACAGUGUGUCGCCGAGCAGAAUGCAGGUCAAUUUGAGUGCGGUCAGGUGAGGCCGAUCCUGAUGUUGCCACAUUUUUGAACAGAUUGAGCAACUACCUGUUUCCAGUGGCCAGGUACACAGCCAUGAAAUAAGGUGAAAAUCUACAAAAGACCUGAAUGACACAUCUCCACAUGAAUGAGCAGACUGGGGAACUUUGAA